rnacentral:rRNA from 1 species
UACGUAGGUGGCGAGCGUUGUCCGGAUUUAUUGGGCGUAAAGCGCGCGCAGGCGGUCGCGUAAGUCUGCUGAUGAAAUCUCCCUGGCUCAACCGGGAGGGGGCGGCGGAGACUGCGGGACUGGAGGGACCUAGAGGCCGGUGGAAUUCCCGGUGUAGUGGUGAAAUGCGGUAGAGAUGUGGAGGAACACCGAUGGCGAAGGCGAGCCUCCUGGGCCA